GAUGAACGCUGACAGAAUGCUUAACACAUGCAAGUCUACUUGAAUUUGGGUUUUUUAACUUAGAUUUGGGUGGCGGACGGGUGAGUAACGCGUAAAGAACUUGCCUCACAGUUAGGGACAACAUUUGGAAACGAAUGCUAAUACCUGAUAUUAUGAAUAUAUGGCAUCAUAUAAUUAUGAAAGCUAUAAGCGCUGUGAGAGAGCUUUGCGUCCCAUUAGCUAGUUGGAGAGGUAACGGCUCACCAAGGCGAUGAUGGGUAGCCGGCCUGAGAGGGUGAACGGCCACAAGGGGACUGAGACACGGCCCUUACUCCUACGGGAGGCAGCAGUGGGGAAUAUGGGACAAUGGACCAAGAGUCUGAUCCAGCAAUUCUGUGUGCACGAUGACGUUUUUCGGAAUGUAAAGUGCUUUCAGUUGGGAAGAAAAAAAUGACGGUACCAACAGAAGAAGUGACGGCUAAAUACGUG
rnacentral:rRNA from 1 species